UCAUCUAUCGCUUAUAUUUCUCUGGAAAUGGAUUCUUUGUUACUUAUUAUUCACUUUUAUUCUGAGUUUUAAAAUGUUCAAGGGAAGGAACUUAGAUUGAAGCAGCAAUAUUUCUUUGUCUCAGCAUCCACACAGGACAUCAUUCGAAGAUUCAAAGAUGGUCACAAUAACUUUGAUGAGUUUCCAGAGAAGGUUGCUCUAUAGUUGAAUGAUACUCAUCCAUCACUUGCCAUAACUGAACUCAUGAGAGUUCUUGUCGAUGAAGAGAAUUUGGAUUGGGAUAGAGCAUGGGGCAUUGUUUGCAAAAUCUUCUCAUUCACAACACACACAGUAUUGGCAGAAGGACUUGAAAAAAUCCCCGUUGAUUUACUUGGCAGUCUACUUCCUCGCCAUUUGGAAAUUAUAUAUGACAUUAGUUUCAAAUUUGUGGAAGAAUUGAAGAAGAAGAUAGGUUUAGAUUACAAUCGUCUGUCCCGUAUGUCAAUUGUUGAAGACAGUGCUGUGAAGGUAUUCUACAUACAUCAUGACCUCAUACAUUUUAUUAACUCAUGGUGCAUUUUUGUUCUUUUAUAUGAACUUAUGGCAUUGAUGUGUGUGUGUGCGCGAGCGUUAGAUAGAUAGAUAGAUAGAGACAUUAGAUUUUUAUAUUAUUAUUAAGUUUUACUUAAUUCUGCAUCAUUUCUUCUUCAUGUUCAUUUUUUAAAUUUUUUGCAGCUCUCCAUUUAUCUGCUUUUCUCUUGUCAGGCAAAAUCCAGUAUCAUGAUUUUGUUGAAUAUUUUUAAAAGAGACAGUAUUAGAGGAGGAUGAAUGUGCUCCACAAAAGAGUGAGAAAAGAGUGUCUCACUCUUUUGUAGAUUGUAAUCUGAUUGGUUAACUGUAUAUUCUUAAGAUAC